GACGAACGCUGGCGGCGUGCCUAACACAUGCAAGUCGAGCGAGGUAUUUAUACCUAGCGGCGGACGGGUGAGUAACACGUGGGUAACCUGCCUCAUAGAGGGGAAUAGCCUUCCGAAAGGGAGAUUAAUACCGCAUAAUAUAUACUGGUAGCAUUAACGGUAUAUCAAAGGAGAAAUCCGCUAUGAGAUGGGCCCGCGGCGCAUUAGCUAGUUGGAGAGGUAACGGCUCACCAAGGCGACGAUGCGUAGCCGACCUGAGAGGUGAUCGGCCACAUUGGAACUGAGACACGGUCCAGACUCCUACGGAGGCAGCAGUGGGGAAUAUUGCACAAUGGGGGAAACCCGUAGAUGCAGCAACGCGCGUGAAUGAUGACGGCCU
rnacentral:rRNA from 1 species